CCUGAACCUGUUUCUUCUCUUUUUCCACCCCAUACUGUCAUUCGCACAUUAUAUUCCCCUUAUCACUAUUCCUCAGAAUAGUAUAUUCAAAAAUUUGUAGUAAGUUAAGAAAAUUGCAAAAGUAAAAAAAAAGUUAUUUGAGCGUAUGGUUGUCAUUUAACUGUCAUUCACAAUUUAGUGAAUAAAUUCCAUUUUCUUCUUUCAAAGUGUUUUCCACU